GACGAACGCUGGCGGCGUGCUUAACACAUGCAAGUCGAACGGAAAGGCCCCUUUGGGGGUACUCGAGUGGCGAACGGGUGAGUAACACGUGAGUAACCUGCCCUUGACUUCGGGAUAACUUCAGGAAACUGGGGCUAAUACCGGAUAGGAAUCCUUGCUGCAUGGUGGGGGUUGGAAAGCUUCGGCGGUUUUGGAUGGACUCGCGGCUUAUCAGCUUGUUGGUGGGGUAGUGGCUUACCAAGGCUUUGACGGGUAGCCGGCCUGAGAGGGCGACCGGCCAAAUUGGGACCGAGAUACGGCCCAGACUCCUACGGGAGGCAGGAGUGGGGAAGAUUGCACAAAGGGCGGAAGCCUGAUGCAGCAACGCCGCGUGCGGGAUGACGGCCUUCGGGUUGGAAACCGCUUUCAGCAGGGGCGAAGCUUGUGGUGACGGUACCUGCAGAAGAAGCACCGGCUAACUACGUG
rnacentral:rRNA from 1 species